rnacentral:rRNA from 1 species
UGGGGAAUAUUGCGCAAUGGGGGGAACCCUGACGCAGCCAUGCCGCGUGAAUGAAGAAGGCCUUCGGGUUGUAAAGUUCUUUCGGUAUUGAGGAAGGUUGAUGUGUUAAUAGCACAUCAAAUUGACGUUAAAUACAGAAGAAGCACCGGCUAACUCCGUGCCAGCAGCCGCGGUAAUACGGAGGGUGCGAGCGUUAAUCGGAAUAACUGGGCGUAAAGGGCACGCAGGCGGUUAUUUAAGUGAGGUGUGAAAGCCCUGGGCUUAACCUAGGAAUUGCAUUUCAGACUGGGUAACUAGAGUACUUUAGGGAGGGGUAGAAUUCCACGUGUAGCGGUGAAAUGCGUAGAGAUGUGGAGGAAUACCGAAGGCGAAGGCAGCCCCUUGGGAAUGUACUGACGCUCAUGUGCGAAAGCGUGGGGAGCAAACAGGAUUAGAUACCCUGGUAGUCCACGCUGUAAACGCUGUCGAUUUGGGGGUUGGGGUUUAACUCUGGCGCCCGUAGCUAACGUGAUANGNNCGACCGCCUGGGGAGUACGGCCGCAAGGUUA